rnacentral:misc_RNA from 1 species
GUGAGUCAUCGAAUCUUUGAACGCACAUUGCGCCCAUUAGCAUUCUAGUGGGCAUGCCUGUUCGAGCGUCAUUUCACCACUUAAGCCCUGUUGCUUAGCGUUGGAAGCCUACGGCAUAGCCCGUAGCUCCUUAAAGUGAUUGGCGGAGUUGGUUCUCACUCUAAGCGUAGUAACUAUAUCUCGCUUCUGUAGUAGUUCCGGCCCCUGCCGUAAAACCCCUUAUACAAAGGUUGACCUCGGAUCAGGUAGGAAUACCCGCUGAACUUAAGCAUAUCAAUAAGCGGAGGA